UUAAGUUAUUAAGGGCGCACGGUGGAUGCCUUGGCACUAGAAGCCGAUGAAGGACGUUACUAACGACGAUAUGCUUUGGGGAGCUGUAAGUAAGCUUUGAUCCAGAGAUUUCCGAAUGGGGAAACCCAGCAUGAGUUAUGUCAUGUUAUCGAUAUGUGAAUACAUAGCAUAUCAGAAGGCACACCCGGAGAACUGAAACAUCUUAGUACCCGGAGGAAGAGAAAGAAAAUUCGAUUCCCUUAGUAGCGGCGAGCGAAACGGGAAGAGCCCAAACCAACAAGCUUGCUUGUUGGGGUUGUAGGACACUCUAUACGGAGUUACAAAGGACGACAUUAGACGAAUCAUCUGGAAAGAUGAAUCAAAGAAGGUAAUAAUCCUGUAGUCGAAAAUGUUGUCUCUCUUGAGUGGAUCCUGAGUACGACGGAGCACGUGAAAUUCCGUCGGAAUCUGGGAGGACCAUCUCCUAAGGCUAAAUACUCUCUAGUGACCGAUAGUGAACCAGUACCGUGAGGGAAAGGUGAAAAGGACCCCGGAAGGGGAGUGAAAUAGAACCUGAAACCGUGUGCUUACAAGUAGUCAGAGCCCGUUAAUGGGUGAUGGCGUGCCUUUUGUAGAAUGAACCGGCGAGUUACGAUUUGAUGCAAGGUUAAGCAGUAAAUGUGGAGCCGUAGCGAAAGCGAGUCUGAAUAGGGCGUUUAGUAUUUGGUCGUAGACCCGAAACCAGGUGAUCUACCCUUGGUCAGGUUGAAGUUCAGGUAACACUGAAUGGAGGACCGAACCGACUUACGUUGAAAAGUGAGCGGAUGAACUGAGGGUAGCGGAGAAAUUCCAAUCGAACCUGGAGAUAGCUGGUUCUCUCCGAAAUAGCUUUAGGGCUAGCCUCAAGUGAUGAUUAUUGGAGGUAGAGCACUGUUUGGACGAGGGGCCCCUCUCGGGUUACCGAAUUCAGACAAACUCCGAAUGCCAAUUAAUUUAACUUGGGAGUCAGAACAUGGGUGAUAAGGUCCGUGUUCGAAAGGGAAACAGCCCAGACCACCAGCUAAGGUCCCAAAAUAUAUGUUAAGUGGAAAAGGAUGUGGCGUUGCCCAGACAACUAGGAUGUUGGCUUAGAAGCAGCCAUCAUUUAAAGAGUGCGUAAUAGCUCACUAGUCGAGUGACACUGCGCCGAAAAUGUACCGGGGCUAAACAUAUUACCGAAGCUGUGGAUUGUCCUUUGGACAAUGGUAGGAGAGCGUUCUAAGGGCGUUGAAGCAUGAUCGUAAGGACAUGUGGAGCGCUUAGAAGUGAGAAUGCCGGUGUGAGUAGCGAAAGACGGGUGAGAAUCCCGUCCACCGAUUGACUAAGGUUUCCAGAGGAAGGCUCGUCCGCUCUGGGUUAGUCGGGUCCUAAGCUGAGGCCGACAGGCGUAGGCGAUGGAUAACAGGUUGAUAUUCCUGUACCACCUAUAAUCGUUUUAAUCGAUGGGGGGACGCAGUAGGAUAGGCGAAGCGUGCGAUUGGAUUGCACGUCUAAGCAGUAAGGCUGAGUAUUAGGCAAAUCCGGUACUCGUUAAGGCUGAGCUGUGAUGGGGAGAAGACAUUGUGUCUUCGAGUCGUUGAUUUCACACUGCCGAGAAAAGCCUCUAGAUAGAAAAUAGGUGCCCGUACCGCAAACCGACACAGGUAGUCAAGAUGAGAAUUCUAAGGUGAGCGAGCGAACUCUCGUUAAGGAACUCGGCAAAAUGACCCCGUAACUUCGGGAGAAGGGGUGCUCUUUAGGGUUAACGCCCAGAAGAGCCGCAGUGAAUAGGCCCAAGCGACUGUUUAUCAAAAACACAGGUCUCUGCUAAACCGUAAGGUGAUGUAUAGGGGCUGACGCCUGCCCGGUGCUGGAAGGUUAAGAGGAGUGGUUAGCUUCUGCGAAGCUACGAAUCGAAGCCCCAGUAAACGGCGGCCGUAACUAUAACGGUCCUAAGGUAGCGAAAUUCCUUGUCGGGUAAGUUCCGACCCGCACGAAAGGCGUAACGAUUUGGGCACUGUCUCAACGAGAGACUCGGUGAAAUCAUAGUACCUGUGAAGAUGCAGGUUACCCGCGACAGGACGGAAAGACCCCGUGGAGCUUUACUGUAGCCUGAUAUUGAAAUUCGGCACAGCUUGUACAGGAUAGGUAGGAGCCUUUGAAACGUGAGCGCUAGCUUACGUGGAGGCGCUGGUGGGAUACUACCCUAGCUGUGUUGGCUUUCUAACCCGCACCACUUAUCGUGGUGGGAGACAGUGUCAGGCGGGCAGUUUGACUGGGGCGGUCGCCUCCUAAAAGGUAACGGAGGCGCUCAAAGGUUCCCUCAGAAUGGUUGGAAAUCAUUCAUAGAGUGUAAAGGCAUAAGGGAGCUUGACUGCGAGACCUACAAGUCGAGCAGGGUCGAAAGACGGACUUAGUGAUCCGGUGGUUCCGCAUGGAAGGGCCAUCGCUCAACGGAUAAAAGCUACCCCGGGGAUAACAGGCUUAUCUCCCCCAAGAGUUCACAUCGACGGGGAGGUUUGGCACCUCGAUGUCGGCUCAUCGCAUCCUGGGGCUGUAGUCGGUCCCAAGGGUUGGGCUGUUCGCCCAUUAAAGCGGUACGCGAGCUGGGUUCAGAACGUCGUGAGACAGUUCGGUCCCUAUCCGUCGUGGGCGUAGGAAAUUUGAGAGGAGCUGUCCUUAGUACGAGAGGACCGGGAUGGACAUACCUCUGGUGUACCAGUUGUCGUGCCAACGGCAUAGCUGGGUAGCUAUGUGUGGACGGGAUAAGUGCUGAAAGCAUCUAAGCAUGAAGCCCCCCUCAAGAUGAGAUUUCCCAACUUCGGUUAUAAGAUCCCUCAAAGAUGAUGAGGUUAAUAGGUUCGAGGUGGAAGCAUGGUGACAUGUGGAGCUGACGAAUACUAAUCGAUCGAAGACUUAAUCAA
rnacentral:rRNA from 3 species